rnacentral:lncRNA from 1 species
UUCCUGCUCUUAGCCAUUAACUAGACUAGUCCUAUAGCAAUGGCAAUGAUAGUGAAUUAUUCAUUUUAUUCUAGGAAAGGAAGAGUGCCAGGCAGGAGGUGAAAAUAGAAAAUAAGAAGUUAUUCCACAAGCAGCUGAACUAAAGCAGCCUUGGUACCUGGGUACAGCAUUCCUGUACCUUCUCCUGUGCACCCAUCACAUAAAGCCAUAGUUCUGCUCCUACGCCGCUCACGUGCCACCCCAAGCCCCAUGACUAUGAGAGAUAUUUCUAGUGCUACCAUGGUAUCUAAACUCAUCGGAGAAACUGCAUGAAGUUGUUGCUACCUUGUGGCACUCCAUAGUCGAUCUCGGCCAUAUUUCCUCCAAGCAGGUUGGCAGCCAUUUGAAAUGGCUGUGACAUAACGCUGGAGCAGUCCUGAAAAUAGCUUGGUUUCACCCCAAACCGCAGAACCCUGG